GAUGAAGAACGCAGCGAAAUGCGAUAAGUAAUGUGAAUUGCAGAAUUCCGUGAAUCAUCGAAUCUUUGAACGCACAUUGCGCCCCCUGGUAUUCCGGGGGGCAUGCCUGUCCGAGUGUCAUUGCAACCUUCAAGCGCGGCUUGUGUGUUGGGUCUCGUCCCCCGUGGACGGGCCCGAAAGGCAGUGGCGGCGUCCCGACAUGGUGCCCGAGCGUAUGGGAAUCCUCUUCCGCUCGAAUCGGCCCAUGCGGCGCUGGUCGUAACCAAAUUUUUUACCGGUUGACCUCGGAUCAGGUAGGGAUACCCGCUGAACUUAAGCAUAUCAAUAAGCGGAGGA
rnacentral:misc_RNA from 1 species